rnacentral:rRNA from 1 species
UACGUAGGGUGCGAGCGUUGUCCGGAAUUAUUGGGCGUAAAGAGCUCGUAGGCGGUGUGUCACGUCGAUCGUGAAAACUUGGGGCUUAACUCUGAGCUUGCGGUCGAUACGGGCAUCACUGGAGUUCGGCAGGGGAGACUGGAAUUCCUGGUGUAGCGGUGAAAUGCGCAGAUAUCAGGAGGAACACCGGUGGCGAAGGCGGUUCUCUGGGCAUGUUCUGACGCUGAGGAGCGAAAGUGUGGGGAGCGAACAGG